rnacentral:rRNA from 1 species
UACCUACACGUGGUAUAAGGGUAGGAGAAGGAGGAUGAGAACUCAAGCAAGACGCUUAGGCUGCUAGUCGAGUGUGCCCGUUUUGGUGAGUGGGUGCCGCUGUGUGAGUAUAGUCUCUCGCCCUUGAAGCGCGAGCCGAAGAAGAGGUGUUGGUCGAGGUUGUUCUCAAGAAUGGAACCGUAUACCAUGGUGUCGUAGGGACCAGGUGCGUGGCAGCACACCCAGCGGUUAGCUCUGUUGGGUUAGUGGUGGAGAAGUAGGCGCUACGAGAGGUAGUGGUGGUCAAGACUAGACCGCAACAGACUGAGGUUUCCGGUACGAUAAACCUCCCGAUGUUCGUCAUAGUGGUGUCCUCCCCGGCUUCGAAUGCGAAACGAUGAGUUGAGGCCCUUAAAGCAGGAGGCUAACGGUUUGAGGUGCCUACAUACUGUCUCGAAACUAGUAGGCUGUCUGUGUGAUGAAGGUUGCUACUUUGAAAAUAACUCGAUGUUCCGGGUACGGCAGCUCGCCGAGUAACGAACCUUCCCAGACCUACUGGGUAGGAGACCCCUAAAGAGUACGCCACCGCUGGGAUCGAGCGGCUGGGAAGUCUCCGAUUAAACCGUCCCCUGGUGCGGUAUAAGAGCGUCGUUACACCAAUUACCGCACAGCCACAGACCGCCGUGUAUGGAGUCGUUGCGGUCGAGGUAACACAUACUUUGUUUGUAGUUCGACCCGCUACUCAAGAUGAUAUACAAGUGACAGAGACUACCAAAUGGCAAGUGCGCAAACUGCGAACUGAUGUGUCCGUGCGACUUCAGAGAUUUAACCUUGUCGGUGAUUAGUAGUACCUGUCAGGACAAACUCUCCGGGUUUCGACGAACGCUGCAGAUACGGAGUACACCGGGUAAGUCGAUAACGCUGGAGUGACCAUGACAGGGCCGUACGUUUACGAAGGUACCCAAACUCGGACUUUUAGAAUUGAAAAGUUCGCCAACAGCCGCUUGUCUUCUGGACUUAACACCGUUCGUUUCAGUCAAGUAUUGAAAUUGACCCUACUUCCAGGGACUGUUCAAGAAUGUAAAGUUCUUGUCUUCGAAGCUACUCACACGGCGGCUCACGUCGUCGUUGACGAGUACAUGCCGCAUACGAAUGCGGUUAAACUCAUCACCACCACGAUUGCUACUGGGCUGUUCCACGAACCAAACAUGUCCCCUCGAAUAGCUGUGUCCUUUCAGUUGACUGAGACCGCUCUUGUACAUGGAAGCGGAACGACUCAGAGGACCAUACGUGACAGGGUAACGGAACACUUAUCGAUUUUUAAAUGUUCAAGGAGUAGAUUUAACAGUAUAUAAACGCUUGGCUUUCGCUCAUUCUACCUAAACUAUUUUUUGUCUUGUAAGGAAGGAAAAUUGUAGUAGAAUGUCUAUGUUUUCUAUACAAAGGGUUAAUGAUUCCAUUCGGUAUGUUGAAGGGGAGAAGUGAAAGUUCACGCAACUCUUAACAAAAAUCAGGUACAAAAUCGUUAAUAGGUUAUCUCUCUCAAUGAUAAAAAAGAGUGUAACUGUUACCGGCUAAUUGAUAACUCAAAACCUUAUUCGUAUAACGUUCUAGUUUAUGAUAAGAUCUACUAGUCUAGAAACUAAAUGGUGUUCGUGACCAUCAAUUCCGUGAGUUUAAUGACACCAUAUGCAUGAAUUAAUCGAACUGUCUAGGCUGUACCAUACGAACACGUUCACUUAGGACUUGAAGACCAACCAACGUAAAGAUGUCAACUGUUCUCAUCAAAUGAUUUCCAAAAUGAGGGUUAAUAUCGUAAUGAUAACAACGACUGUACGUAACGGGAGUAGACCUGAAUGUUUAAGUCUCCAUCUUAUUGUCUACAGGAGAGAAAAAACUGUAUGACAUACUUGUAAUUACGUUCUUAAUUCCCUUUUUUACCUACAGAAAUGGUCGUCCUUUUACCGCUUUCUUCCUUUUGGUCUUCAUUGAUUACGCUCUUAUGAAAUCGUGUAGGCUACUUGAGCUUCCGUCUUCAUGUCUUAAAGGUAAAUAAUCGAUGUUUCUCUAGGAAAGUCGUUGUUUAAAGAAGCGACUAAGUUUGAACGAACCUGCCCCUCCAAAACCGUUUCAAAUGUUCCCGUGUUACCUUCCACCUAUACUCCAACGACAGUUUUCCGAAUCGGUCCCAAGACCAGUUCCGUAACACCUCAAGUUUUUACUUCAUCAAGAUUAACGUUUUGACGUCGUGUUCUUGGACCAGUCUGAAGUACCCACAACGUAAGUCCUUCUACUCUUCAAUGACUAGAUGCUUAUGAAUGGAUUGUUUUCAAACCUACGGAAAUAAAAACCAUGCACAAUCAUACAACUAGAAUACAACGAAUUAAGAAUGUAAUCGGCCUCAAUAUGAGUACUACCGAUCUAAACAAAGUAUAAAAUAGUUCUACAACGUGCUUUUGUGUACGAACUAACCAGCUGCGCCAAGUUUUAUCAAUUUCCUUAUCGUUCUCCAGAAGAAAUAGAGGUAGUUCUAAGUUCUAAUUGUUAUUAAGUGUCUCUAGAGUUUCGUUCGUUGUAGAACAACCUGCGUUUUUACUGAGGGUUUUAAAGUCUAAAACCAUACCGUGCUUAUAAACCACGUUUGGUCUUAGUACGUUUGUGAUGAUCCCAACAGCCCUGUAUACCAAUGUACAGUGGACUUAUACGCUACCCUCCACGUAAAAGACAAUUUUGUCUGUGUAUAUCGAAACCACAAGAAGAGAACCUCUAACAAUCACCGGACUUCUAGUCAAGUGGAGACGAGUUUUGUUUAAAAACGUCGGAAUAUUGAAUACGCACCUCUGAUACCCUUCAACCUCUUCGUUGACUUGAUCACCUGAGAAGACAACAGCGCUUAACGAGUGAAGUACUUCAAGAUGCCACACAAGUACAGCCUGAGAACACACAAGUUCUGGUAGGGUUGCUAUCCGGCGAUUACAGUAGCCAAUACAAAUACAACCUCUUACUUUUGUGCGAAGAAGGUUGAGGUUUCGUUGGGCGAAUGAAACGAGAUUCAUUAGCACUUCCAGUUCUUCGUUGUCUAUUGUAUCUCUUGAGGUGUUUACGUUAAUCGUAGUGUCGGAACCUCCCAGCAAUUUACAACAUAUUGAAACGCACACGCCUAUAAUCAUAUGAGAGAAACACUUGAUUUGAAACGUAUACGGCCAACACAACUUAUGAGCUACAUUAAAAAUAAUAUAAACACUACGAAACAUUCGGAUGGGGUUGAACAAACCCUGAUUUCCGAAAAAACAACAACAACAACAUAAACACCACGAAACAUGAAGAAUACUUGGAAAUUUUAUCCUGCAGCUAUUGUUGGUUGGCAAGCCAGACCCUCGUGGGGUCUGGCUUGCAAAGCAAGCCCUACCUUCCCCAUAGCUAGCUUGUUUAACAAGCCCUUGUUGGACAAGCGCUCCUUUUGCGGGGUCGGGCUUGCGGGGUGGGUGGCCCGGGAUGUCCGGAAAAAGAACACUUUUCUUUUUGCUGUUUAUUUCGGGUACAUACUGAUCAUUUUUAGGGUCAAAAAGAUGCUGAUUAUUUGUGAUCAGAAAACGUGCUAUUUUAACGGUACCUGAAAACGGUAAGAUACUUUCUUUAACGGUACAAGUUCAAAUACAAAAUUUUUUACCGUGUUUUAUCCUUCUUCAGUACCGUUGGACGUAGAGAUGUCAUGCUUUUCAACGGUAGUGAUGCUUCAAAUGUUUUUUUACCCUUUUUCAACGGUACUUCACUAUCCCACUUUUGUAAAGAGAGAUCUGUGUAUCUUUUAAAAGUUUUUUUUACUUCUUUUGGAAAAUUCAACACUACUAUAGCAUGUACAUUAGGGGUACCGUUUUAUUUAAAGUUUCUUAGUUUUGAAAAACGGUACCUUUUCUGUUAAAACUUUCUUGUUUGAACAGCACAAGAGUUUGAUUAAACAUUACCGGUACUGUUUGAAGCCUACCUGUACCGUUUUUCUGUGUUACUUGGUACCGUUUUUUACGUAAAUCAACGGUACCUUUUUUGUGUAAAUAUUUGUUAUGACUAAAAUCAACGGUACCGUUUAAACGGUACAAAAACUUGUAGAAUCCAACGGUACAAAAAAUUGUAGUAAUCAACGGUAUCGUUCAAACGGUACAAAAACUUGUAGUAAUCAAACAGUACAAAAAUUGUAAAUUUUACGGUACCGUUCAAACGGUAUAAAGACUUGUAGAUGUUUCAAACUGUAUAAAAAUUUGUAUAUAUUGAAACGGUACCGUUCAAACGUACAAAAACUUGUACAAUUAAUUUCUUCAAACGGUACCGUUUUUACCAAAUAAAAAAACGGUACCGUUUUUACAUCAUGAAAACGGCACCUUUUUUUAAAUUUUUACAGUACCAAUGUGUUCAUAUAAAA